GCAAAACUUUCCAUCCAAUCAAAUGUGACGUGAAUUUUUACAGCAACAAAUAUUGCUGUAAAAUCUCUGACACCCCACCAAUGUGAGGGAUCACUGGGAAAAAUAUAUUGGCAUGUCAGGGACAUUUACUGUUACAGCUCUGAUUUUAAUGAUGAAUAUGCACAAGUCAUUUUUCUUGAACCUCGUCUAAUUCUACCACAGACGUCUAAAACAAAUGAUGUCAUCUCAGAAGACCUCUGGCAUUUAGCCAGUCAAAAGACAAAUUUUAGGGUAAAAGGUCAUUGGGGGGGGAAAAAAGUUACUUAUGCAGCAAUAUUUGGUCUCUUAAGUGGAGGUCUGAAGAUGCAGGGAAGACUGAGCGCAAAAGGCGAAAUGAAAGAAAUGAACAAACAGGAAACAGAAAAUGAUAGGUAACUCAAGACAGAGCCAACUCAUCGGGUCUCAGAAAAUGUUGUAUGCAUCUUUUCCUUUAUAAUUGACUCUUAAGUGACAAUGUUUAUGUACCUAAGCGGAAAAGGUGAACCAUACUCAUGUUAUGCUCUCAACAAGAUAUUAAACUUAAUUCUGCAGGCUAACAAAGUACUCUGGAAAAGGUGCAACUCAGCAGUGCCAAUUUGUUUGCACUUGGCCAUCUUGUCAAGGCUUGUUAAAGAUCUGGGAUUGGCUAUUGGCCAGAAAAAAUGUGACUGGUGCACCCCUAGUUGAAAGUCAUUUAAGCAUGCUUAACUCCAGAUGGUUUCAUAAUGGUAUUGUGUAUGACAAUCGUGCCAAGACCGAGAAUGGAAAUCAACAAGGCCCUCAAAAAAGAAAUGGAAUGUUUGGGAGGAAAUAGCUAGAAGACAUAAGGACUUCUACAAAGCUUUAUGAAGCAAUCUGUCAAGAAUGAAAUAAAUGCUAAAACAACAAGCAUUGCGAGGCAGGAUGAUCUAAUUCAAACCAACACCUACCAAACUUUUAUGCAACCAGAGCCCUGCUGGAGGGACCUGAUACAAAUGACAGCCACUUCACAGCUCAGGUGGGAGAGGGUUUCAUGUAAGAAGCAUGUAGGCUGUUUAACAAAUGAUUUCAACAGCAAGCUCUGUGUUAACGCCGUCAACAAUGCAUUAGCAUUAAAAGCAAUUCCCGUCGUGACCAAAAAUGAUCUAGUGGCACGGCGUGUGCUUAGGUGUAUCAAAAAAUGAAAUAGGAGAGAAAGGCCUAUGGAAGAGCAAACAACCACAACACU